GACGAACGCUGGCGGCGUGCUUAACACAUGCAAGUCGAACGGAAAGGCCCUGCUUUUGUGGGGUGCUCGAGUGGCGAACGGGUGAGUAACACGUGAGUAACCUGCCCUUGACUUUGGGAUAACUUCAGGAAACUGGGGCUAAUACCGGAUAGGAGCUCCUGCUGCAUGGUGGGGGUUGGAAAGUUUCGGCGGUUGGGGAUGGACUCGCGGCUUAUCAGCUUGUUGGUGGGGUAGUGGCUUACCAAGGCUUUGACGGGUAGCCGGCCUGGGAGGGUGGCCGGCCACAUUGGGCCUGAGGUACGGCCCAGUCUCCUACGGGCGGCAGCAGUGGGGAAUAUUGCACAAUGGGCGGAAGCCUGAUGCAGCAGCGCCGCGUGCGGGAUGACGGCCUUCGGGUUGUAAACCGCUUUCGCCUGUGACGAAGCGUGAGUGACGGUAAUGGGUAAAGAAGCACCGGCUAACUACGUG
rnacentral:rRNA from 1 species